rnacentral:antisense_RNA from 1 species
AAUAACCAAAGAUGGUUGCGGGGUCUAGAGUAGGAUUACUAAUCAGACGGACAUCCCCCAAGUGAGUGUCAUAAAUUCCCCCAAAAAACAUUGCUUUUAGAACGAGCAAAAAAGCACCAAAACCAAGAACAAUUAAGUGAUGUCCUAAGAUUAAACUCAACUUUUUGGAAUCGUUCCA